UCCAGACUCUUCAAUCCUGUCCCUCCCACCAGGAGGUCUCCUCCCUGCCUUUACCUGGCCUCUGCCAGCUGCUCUGAAAGGCCUUGUAGGUCUCGCUCCAUGGCUGCCACUCGGGCUUCUAGGGCAGCCCUCUCAUGCACCAGCAACUCCUUCUCUCUGGUCACCUGGGCCAGAGCGUGCCCUUGGCAAGAGAAGUCCUGGAGCAGCUGCUCCAGACCCCUGCUAGCUGACUUGGGCUGGUGGCAAAUCUGAAAGCGGGACAAACUACAGUUAGAGUCCUUCCUCAGGAGCUCUGUGCAGAGCCAGACCCUGCCACUUUGGAAUCUGUGGGCUCAAAGUUUCAGAGCAUCUGCUGCAUGGCACACUUUGGUAAAUGGUCAGAAUGGUACACUGUUGCUUUGAGACGGUGAAGACCUGACUGGUGAGGCUGGGGGAGCGAAAGAGGAGCUGGGCCUCUUGCUUGUCUUGCACCUGGCUCCAGCAAGGCCUGAAAACUGCGGGAUGUCUGGAGUGAAGCAGAGGUCUCACGCACCGCUGUUGCUUCAGUGAGGCACAGAAGAGCACCACGCCUCUGUAGCAGCCAAUAGACACGCUCCCUUCCCUGUGAAAAAGCAGAAGUGUUAAAAGGCAGGCUCACUAAAGAGACAAGGGAGCGUUGCAUUCUAGCAUACCCAGGACUAUCGAUAUUUUAUCUAUCUAUCUAUCUAUCUAUCUAUCUAUCUGUCUCGCACUUAGGUCUCCGUUGCUACACUUUCUGUCCUGACACACACCAACAUUUAGGUAAUUAGUCCAUUUAUCACUGGCAAUCCUGAACUUGCUUUCCUGUUGCUUCAAUAAGCAGCACUAUUGGUGACUCUGGAGCAUAUGAGUGCUUAGGGAAUGCGAUCAGACCUAUGGCACUGGAUUGGUAACUGCACCAGUUGUGCAUCUGUGCUUGUGCAAGUUCUCCUGUUGAACUUGACCGUCUGGUCUUAACAGUGCUAAAGUGGCUAUAAUCAGAAAUGAAGCCCAGCCACACCCAGCCCCUCUGAUCCCUGAGGACCAGCUGGGAUGCAAGGGAGGGGUAUUUCCUGCUAAAUUCCCAUGCCCAUAACACAACAUAUACUAAUACUCAGGGCUGCCACAAGGCACAGGCACUGCUAACUCCAAAGGGAUGUGUAAGGUUCUACUGGCUUGCCUGGGACCAGAACAGCUCCUUCCCCACAAAUGUUCCUCCCCCAAACAACAUGUUUUCCUACAACAGUACUUCCAGAACUGACACCUUACAAACUGAAACUCUAGUGCUGGAAACUUUCAGGAAAGGUUGAGCAAAAGCAGCUUUGCUUGCUGAAGGAAGCGAGACGACACUGGAAUACUCCUCCUCAGGAAAAAACAAAAACCAAAACUAAAAGCCCAAGAGGAAGGUGUCACCUCCUUCAGUGUGUCAAGCAGCAGCAUGCAAUGAGGGGAGCCUUGGCAGGGAGCAGCCCACUGUCAUUUCUAAACUCAUGGAAGUCUGGCUGAAGACCUCCCUCAGCCUCCUUUACUCCAGGUUGAUCACCCACAGCUCCCUCAGUUGCUCCUCAUCAGACUUGUGCUCCAGAACCUUCCCAAGCUCCCUUGCCCUUCUCUGGACACGCUGCAGCCCCUCAAUGUCUUUCUAGGUGUGAGGGUCCCAAAACUGAACACAGCAUUUGAGGUGCAGCCUCACUAGUGCUGAGUACAGGGCGACGGUCACUGCCCUGGUCCUGCUUCUUUCUAAGGAGAACAAGUCCCCACCUUCUACUGCCCGGAACAGCAUCUGGGAUGGUCUUGCCAGUGCAACUCCCUCUUCCACAAGUGCCACCGAGGAAGAAAGUGACCAUACCUUUUCCAGUGCCUUGGUAAGGUCAGCUUUCUCCUCCUUCAGCAGAUUCUUCUGGAGCUGCCAUUCCUCCACUGUCUCUUCCACCACUGCCAACUCCCGCUCUGAGAAGGAGGGUUUUCUCUCAGCUACUGCCAGCUGCUUUGGUCUGUGAGAACGGGACAGACAAACGAGUCUUUAAGAGCAAAACAGUCUCCUUUCCAAAACCAAAUCUACAUCCUGUGUCCCACAGAUGGCAGCUGGAAUGACUUCCAACAGCCUUCUAGUUCCACUGAAGGAAUGCUGGAAUUCCCUGGCUGUGUCACCCUUUGUCCUUGAUGCAGGUGAAACAAUUGUCCUUGAGAAAGGAAAACAAGCUUCCAGAAAUCAGCUUCCUUUUCCAGGAAGCUCAGAUAUUCUCAACUGAACAGCUUCCUGCCUGCUAGGUCUUAUUCUCCUUUUUGAUACAUUGGAUAUGGGACUUCCUCAAGCCCAUGUGCUCCCUUCUCCUGUCUGUGCUACAGAUGAUGAGCCGGCGAAAUUCCUUCUUUGAUGGUGGGCUUUCUAAAGCCCAGCAAUGCCCACCCCUGUCCAGAGAAAGCAAGAAAACUUAACACUCACAGGAGCUCUGGGACACUGAGCCCUCCAUCCAUCCUCUCCUGCCACUCCACCUUUUCCAUCUGGGCUGUGGAGUCCUGACUGGCAGAAAGCUCUUCUGUCAGGGCCUGCAAAACGACCCUGGAGUUGGUAUGUACGUCUCAGUAGAAGCAUGGAGCAUUUCCCUUCUCUGAUCUGUUCAACUGACUUCUCCUCAGUCUUCCAAGUUUUAGGGAACAGCCCUUAGGAAGUGCCUGCCAGCCCUUCAGACACAGCCCUUCCCUCUCCAAUGCAGAGCUGGGUAGGAUUAUUCUCCCCAGCCUUGGGGCCUGUCAAAGUUAGGGGUGUGGUCUAAGGUGUGCCAGAAGCUACUUAGAUAGUCCAUGGAGAGGGGCAGCUUCCCCCAGAGGAAAGUGUCCCCUCGGUAUCCUGCAAGGCCGUGAACUGAGUCUUUGGACCGCUCUGUGCGCUGUCAACAGGGAGCCUGCACAGACACUAUGCACAAACCUGCUCCCUUUUCCACUGGCAGCAUGCAAGGACAUGGUGCUACCUCUUCUCUGAUACCAAGAGAGAUUCACAGGCCGCCCAGGAUACCAGGAAACUGAUGGCUACACGUGAAGGUUCAGAAGCCACUUUCCAGGUGUCAGGGGCUGCGGUGGAGCGCUGGUGUCACAGAGAAACUCCAGCCCUCAGCAUCUUCAGCCACAAAGGGCAAGUGCUGUGUGAGCAGAAACUUGCAGCUCUGCACUGCAGCAGAGACAGUGCCAAGCAAAGCUGCCACUUACUGCUUCGGGAUGUUCAGGCCGUGGAGUGGCAACACGUGGAAAUGCGUUGGCAUGGCCCUCCUCUUUAGCCUCAUCUUCAGGAAGAGAGAGAGCCAGAGGAGGUUCUGAUGCUGGUGUUGUGCUCUGUGGACAGACAGCAGCGUGAGGGACAGGGAGUAACCUGUCUUUUCGGACCUGAUUUUUGUUGAGCUUCUAUUUCCUGCUGGACUGCAGAGAAAUCAUGAACUUGGAUGGAAGGAGGAUUCUAAGUCCUUGAAAGUACAUGUAAAUGGGCUAAUUAGACCCAUGUGACAGUAAUGCAUAUUAUUGUGAAUUCGAUAUUGCACCCUGGCUGCAAUCAGCAAGCAACCUUCUGUUGCAAACCUUGACUUUUCUGUGUUAAAAAGCUCUUUGAUGGAACAUUAGGAAACAGCAGCGAUCCCUUUGCUACUGCUGAUGCAGGCACUGAAAUGGGCUGUCUUUCAGCCCACCAGGCUGGCACUCGACUGCAAGAGGCCAGCUCACAGCUUGCUCCACAGUUCUCAAGCACCAGGCAGGUCAAAAGGGCCUUUCCCACUCACCAAAGGAUGGGCUUCUCUCCAUCCACGUGUGAUGUGUCCUGCAAGAGGAAAGGGAAAAGCAACCAGAUACUGUUAGAAAACUGUCUGUGCUGGGGAAUCCCACAGAACAAGUCAACCGAAACCGGGAACAUGUUCCUGUACUUUUAUUUUUUUUAAUAAAUUGCACACUCUCAUUCCCGUUAGCUCUCUGAAGACAUUUCCCCAGAAAAGCAGCCCCAGAAUCUCCCUUAGCUGUGGCACUUCUAUUCUGCCAUAGAAGGGCAGCAGCUGCUGGGUUCACAAGCAUACAGUAACUGUUUUGGAGUUUGCACUUCAUCACAAAGGGAAUUGCUAUGUCAGCACACACAGAAAGUGUCAAGUCACACAGUCAAAUCCUUUAUUGAGGGAAUGAAGAGAAAAAGAUGCUCUUCCUCAAUUCUGGAGAGAACUGCACAGUUUUUAGAAGGACUCCUGGCAAGGUCUCCCUGUCUGCAUUGUGCAAGUUGAGCCAGCAAACUAAGGAAAUGACAGAUUCCACUGGUACAAACCACCUCAUGGAGGGAAGGGAAGCCCUGCGAGUUACAUUCCAAAUGCUGCCCACACCCUACUGGCCAGAAACACCCCCUUCUUAGCUGAAGUUGUUGACAGGAGCUUUACCUAACUAAUGCCAUCUUUGUGGCAGUUUUGUUUCGAGAUGCUGCACCUCAGAUGCAAGCAUCAUUUGUUUGAAGAUGCUGCACCCUCUACUUACUUGUCAGGUGAGUCAAAAAGUAGCCGGAAUAGGCCAAAGAAAAAGCAGUGCAAACUGCUCCACAGAGUGGCUCCAUCGUUGGAGCGGUGCUGCACAAGUCCACCGACCGUACAACACCAAGAGUAGAACAAAAGAACGCUCCCGUCAGGGUGCAAACUGUUGGCUGAGACGCCUCGAUCAGGAGGAUCCUCCUGCACUGAGCCCGCCAAAGAGCUGCUCUGGACACUGAGGCCUCCCAGGCACCAGGGUAACCUUCCCUUGACAGCACUGUGAUGUGGCAACAUCCCAUGACAUCACAAUGGCAGCCGCUGCAGGUGGGUUUGUGAAUUUACGCAGAGCAACCCAACCUUCUCUGCAGCAAACGCAGAAGACGAGCCUGCAGAGUUCUCCUCUGUCCCAAAGCAGUACCAAACCCCCCUGCGGUGCACAACCUUGCACAGACAUGCCAAGACUCUCUUGUCUGUUGGUGGGCAACAGAGUGUGUUUCAGGAGCUUUACACUGGACUUUACACGCUUAGCAACUCAAACACAUUUUGCUGAAAUGAUCACUCAUGUCUGAUUGAAAGGGAACCUCCCUCCCGACACAAUUCCCUUUCAGCAUGCCAGGGAACACUGCCGGGCAAAGGAUCUGCCUUUCAGCUCUCACAGUCCUAACACUGAGGGGUAGCACAGCUGCUAAGGAGGGGUCUUUGUCGAGCUCUUGUAGGUUCUCUGCUGUAAAUAGAGAGAAAGCAGGCACUUGGAGAACAGGCUGAGAGGUGGAUGAAUUCCUGGAGGGCUCAAUGAAGGAAGAAGGACACCUUAGUGGGGAAAGCCAAGUAACAAACCUACGUCACCCUGCUGCUGCAGAGCUCUGGCAUCGCAAAGAAGCCCUUUGGGUUCUGUGACUCACCUGCAGGGGCUUCCCUGGGCACAUCUGUGAGGCACAGAGAACUGACUAGAGGGGACAUACAGAGAGAAAGAAAAGAAAGUUAAAACCCAAUGUGGGAUGACUUUGAAGGUGGUGGUAGGAGGAAACCAGUGGGCCCAAAUGGGCAAGUGCCAUUUAAAAGGGGAGUUACGAGGCAGAGACCAAAGAGAUGAGGUGGUGGGCAGGCCUCAGGAAGGCAGGGUGAGGAAAACAGAAAACCAGAAGCCUUGAAAAGUUUGAAAGCAUCCUUCCCCAUUCCGUGUCUUUCAAGCCAGUUUUUUCUCCUACGUAAAAUUACAUUCCUGAGCAUUACCAGCAAGGGACUGGAAAACUCUCCUUUAAUUUCCUUUCUCAAUUAAAAAACAAAAUGAAGAGAGAAA